CCUACGGGAGGCAGCAGUGGGGAAUUUUGCGCAAUGGGCGAAAGCCUGAUGCAGUAACGCCGCGUGGAGGAUGAAGGCUCUCGGGUUGUAAACUCCUGCCUGGGGGAAAGAUGAUGACGGUACCCCCAAAGAAAGCCCCGGCUAAUUCCGUGCCAGCAGCCGCGGU
rnacentral:rRNA from 1 species